rnacentral:lncRNA from 1 species
UGAGAAUGCUGAGCAACAGGAACACUCAAUCAUGGCUGGCAGCAAUGCAAAUAGCUCAACUAUUUUGGAAGACAGUUUGGUAGUUUCUUUUAAAGUUAAAAGUAAUUUUACCAUAUGAUCCAGCCACCAUAUUCCUAGGUAUUUACCCAGUUUUGAAAAUUUAUGUCCACACAAAAACCUGCACAUAAAUGUUUAGAGCAGCUUUAUUCAUAAAUGCCAAAAACUUAAAGAAACCAAGAUGUUCUAUAAUAGAGGAUGAAGAGACAAACUGUAGUGCAUUUAUGGAAAGAAAUAUUGAGCAAUAAAAAGAAACCUGCCAGUGUUCAAUAGCACUAUUGGCAUAUUUUCCCUUCCUGGACCCUGUUUGGGUUUUCACCAUUUGUUCUACUUCCUGCAGGUGUUUGACCUCUAGAACUCAGAAAAUCUUCAACUUCUUUACUAUUGCCCAAAGUCCAAAAUGAGAUUUAGAAGACUACUGCUGUGCGAAGAAGCCAAGUUAUCACUAAAAUAGAUGGAGCAAAAGAAUUUAACAAUGCUUUCACAGCUGAGUAUUUAAUCCUGUAGAAAGAUGAUGGCUCUGAUUAUAAAGAGAUAAUGAUGCAGAAUGUACGAGAAGGGAAUUUGAAUUUCUAAGAAAAAAUGUUUGAGAAGGAGAAAACUGCAAAUUCUGUGAGAAACAAUGUUUUAAGUGCCUUCUAAUAAGGUGUUUCUUAAGAUGAGAUGGAAAGGACAUACUUCCUCCUUAUCUAGGUACAGAUGUUACUCACUUGUGUAAGACUGAGAUAUUAAUUAAAUUUGAGCAUGCUAGGUAGAGCAAAGGCCAAGAAGAUACCUCACAGAUAGCCAUAAAUUACCCCUAGAAUCUGAGCUAGAAUCUGAGGUUAGAAAUUUUGUCUGUUUUGUUCUCUGAUAUAUCCCACGCACUUAAAACAGUAUGAUACCUACACCAGGCACUCAAUGAAUUUUUAUUGACUAAGUGGUCAGUUUAACAAAGUCUAAAGUCUUAACUUUAUCAGCACAUCUAAAGUUUAUCCACGUCUUAGGGGUUCACUUCAGCAAUUCAAGAGAGAGUGGUAUCAAAGAAGAAUGAUCAUUUAUUAAUUUUGAAGAGAAAAAUCAUCGUAGGAAUAAUCAAAUGUGCAACAUUAACAUAAAUAACUUUGUGGUCUAGCUAAGUACAAAGCUAAGUCAUACCCAGCAAGAAAUUUUAAAAUUUACAAUGAGAAAUAUAACUUUCCUAGGAAUCACAAUGUUAAUGUGUGUCAGAAGAGCAAAUUAAACCCCUGUAAAAAUCAAAUGGGAAACAACAUUAAAUGAAAAUAAACAUGUAAUCCUUAAAAGGAAAAAACUUUAAAAGUACAAUCUUAGUGGAUCCUGAUAAGAAAGGCUGUUGUAGUCAUCUCAAAACAGGACAGAAUACUAAAGUUCAGUGUCUAUAAUCUCCUUCAUUCUGCAACACAUAUGUUAGCUUUGCCAAGGAUACAGAAUGCAGAAAGUGCAUUUACAAAAGUUUCCCUCAACCAUGGGCUUCCUUGAAGAACAGACUUCAGUCUAUAUGCCUAUUCCUUUUAAAUUCCUAGCUGAAAAAUCUCCAACCACUGCACCGCCCUCUAAUAAACCUCUUCUUUGUUUAGAUAACUUGAUAAAUUAAAUUAUGUAAAAGCAAACUAUUAAAUCUUUUUCUAAUUUUACUUUGCACAUUCUACUCUGAUUAAUUAUGUGCUGAUCUUACCUUUUAACCUUCAAAACCAAUUCCUAUUAUUCCCAAUUAUAAAGUUUGGUGGAAUACCUCACUAACAAAAAUAAUUUAUUAUAUGUGUCUAUAUAAUCAUAUUUUAGUUAGUUCUUUGAUAUCCAUACAAGAUAGGUAUUGCACAGCCUGAUAUGUAAAAUUCUAAGUAGUUACGAAGUAACAGAAGCAUUGGGUGGCCACACAAAGCCAACAACUUCUGAGCAAUGGAGAAAGUUUUUUUAUUAAAGUACUCAUAUAUUUUGUUUUUGCAAAAAAAAUCAAAAUGGUCCAUUUUACUAGUCUCAGGAUUGCUACUCAGUGCAAAGAGAGAGUUCAAAGAGGAAACACUGUUGCAUAGCGUGUACUUGAGAAUCCCGUAGUUGUGUCAUGGCUGGGCAUUUAUUUGCAAAGGCAGAUUGAGAACAAUACCAACAAUGAAAGCAAUAGACAAAGAUAUGAAUUGAUGUAUGUCUUAACCUGACUGACUGUACAGAGUAAUUGACUGCUCUGCAGUUCAUUAAAAAAUAAAAUUAUUUCAAUAAUUAAUUCUGAAAGGCAGAACAAAUAAUUGAAUUGUACAAAAUGAAGAUGAUGAAAAGGAAAACAGAAUCUAUGGCAGCAAGGUAGAAAAAUUUCCUUCAGUCAAAUCAAAUUAAGGGGUUCAGCAAGAGACAAAGAUGAUUAUUGAAUUUUUUAAUUAUGUUCUUAUAUAUUGUUAUAAACUUUAGAAGGUUCAUUCCACAUUCCAACUACUAAAAACUGUAACAUCAGCCAAAAUAUUCAGAAAUCUCAUUCAUAAAGAGAAAAGACAAGAUAAUUUGGCUAGUUCAUUUCCUUUCAAAAAUUCAAAAUAUUACUUGUGAGUGAAAUAAAAUAAUGAGAUAAGAAUUAUGUAACUAACAGCGGGGUAAUGUUUUUCCUCAUUGCUAGGCCUUGAUCUGAGCUAUGUGGACACAAGGCAGAAUAAUUAUGCAAAUACCACCACAAAGUCCAUGCUAUAUUUCUAAGCACUGUGCUUUACUUGUAGAUGAAGCUUUGGAAACUUGGUUUAGAAAAAUAGGUAGUCACAUUUAUUAUUUUAGAAAAAUACCAGAAGCUAUUAUAACAGAGUUUCAAAAACUGAAAAUGCAAAAUGAAAGAUACAGCAGCUCGGCUGCUGACUUUGAAGCUAGAGAAAGGGGCUGUGAACCAAGGAAUGCAGGCAACAUUUAGAGGCUGGAAAAAGGUAAGCAGAUAUAGUCUUUCCUAGUGCAUCCAGAAGAAAUGCAGACCUGCCCACAACUUGAUUUUGAUCCAGUAAAACUCAUUGCAGAAUUAUGACUUUCAUAACCAUAAGAUAAUUUGUGUUGUUUUAAGCCACUAUAUUUGUGAUGAUUUGUUAUGGCUGCAAUAAAAAAUUAAUAAUCUGUAAUUUUAUUUACAAGUAUCUUUUGCAGUUUGACAUUUUAAUUUUACUAAUUGUGCCACUUUUCUAUGACAAAGUAUUACAAUUUUUAUAUAAUCCAGCAGAUCACUGUUAUCCCAUACACUAAUAGAGUUUGAAUGAUAUGAAAGUUUUCCCCAUGCUCCAAAUAUAGGGGAAUUCACACAUGAUUUUAUUUUCUAGUACUUGUAUGGCUCUCUUCUUAAGUUUAAACUACUAAUCCAUGCCAAAUUUAUCUUGGUAUAUGGUAUAAAGAAUGAAUCCAAUAUUUUCUUUGUCUAUAAGGCUAUUCCUUUUUUAUAUUUAAUAUUUUUUUCUUCUCCUUGAUUUGUUUUGCUACCUAUAGCAUAUUCAAAAUUUCCAUAGAUAAUUGGUUCUGUUUCUGGAUUUUAUAUUUUUUGUUCCAUUCGUCUGCUUAGCAUGAGCCAAUACCAAAUGGUUUUAAUUACAUAGGUUUUUACAUGAGAUUUUUUAAUGCCUGUAUGGCCAGAUCCCUUCAUAACCCUUUUGUAUUACUGCUUUCUUAGCUAUUUAUAUUUAUUCUUCCAAACAAAUUUCAUAGUCUACACUUACAUUUAAAAAAUGAAUAAUAUUUCUAUUCGGAUUGCAUUUUAUUUUUAAAUUAGCUUGGGGAGAACUGACAUUUUUAUGAUGCUAGAUAUUACUAUCCAAGAACAUGGUGCAUCUUUCCACUUCUCCAAGUCUACUCAUAAUUUUCAGGAAUGUGACUUAGUUUCUUGACAGAUAUACUGGAUUUUCCUUAAGUUUACAUACAGAUUUUUUUCUUAUUAUGGUAAAUCAAACAUUCAGUUUCAUAUUUUCUAUCUUGUAUUUGUGUGUAACUUGUAUGUUUUCAUAUAUAAUUUUCUAAAUUGCUACUUUAUUCAAUUGUUUUUAUUUUUCCAUUAGUUCUUUUGGGGUUUCCAAGCAUAUAUUCAUGUGUCUGUAAAUAGAAUUAGAACUUUUUUAGAAACUACUAAUUGCUUUACCUAAUAGGCAAAUACUUCCAAAGGUAUGCUAAAUAGUACAGAUAAUGAACAUUCUUGUCUUUUUCUUUAGUGCGGAAAUAUCUAUUGAUUCCAUGUCAAGUAAGAAACUAGCUUUGGGGCUAGUUUUUUUGGGGGCUGAGAUUAUUUUUAUAUUCCAAACUACAUGCUCUAGCCAUCUAUCUCUAGCUAUUUAUGUUUAUCUAUCUAUCUAGUCACAUAAGAAAUGAUAUACCCCAAUUCCUGUCUUAUGGAGUGUUUUUAAGAUGACUGGGUGCUGAAUUUUGUCAAAUAUACUUUCUUCAAAUGUGAAGAUGAGCAUGUGAUUCUGAAUUUCUCAAAUAAAUCUUAUUUAGUCAUGAUGUACUAUUUUUUAGAUUUGCUAAUAGACUAUAUAUUAAUAUUUAAGUUUUUUACAUUUAUAUGCACAAGAGACAUUGGCCAAUAGGUUUUUUUCAUUGGUGAGUUUUGAUUAAUGUAUUUACUUCAUGAAAUUAGCUGGAAUGUAUUUUUGCUUUUCCUAUUCUCUGCAAUUGUUUGAACAGCAUUCAUAUUAUUUAAUCUUGUAAGGUUUUAUAGAAUACUGCAGUAAAGUCACAUGACUCUGGUGCUUUUAUGUGGAAUAACUCUAAAUACAUUCUCUAUUUAUUCUAUUGCCAUUGAUCUGUUUUAGAUUGGUUAUCCUUACUGGGAUCAAUUUUGGUGUGUCUGAAAUAACAAUUUAAUUUAGGUUUUCAAAUAGAGUUAUAGAAUGUCUCUUAAGACUUGCUUAAAUUAACUCUUUUGAUGACUAUGUCCCACUUUGUGGUUGCUAAUUUUGUGUAUCUGGUUUUUUUUUCCUUUUAUUUGUUCGAAGUUUAGCCAAUGGUUUUUCAAUUUUGUUGCUUUUCUAGUUUACUGAUUCUCCAUUUCCUAACUAGUUAACUACUGUUUUUUUAACCUUUAUUAAACUGUCUUCUACUUUUCUUUGCUUUACUCACUGUUUUUCUAGAUUUUGAGUUGAGGAUUUAACUUAUUUUAUAGUUUUUAUUGGUACAAUUAUUUCAUUUAAAAAAUUUACUAAUUUUUUUAGCUGUAUCCCCAAAAUUCUGAUGUCAUAUUGUUCUUACCUUUGUUUCUAAAAAUAUCCUUCAUUUUUCACUUUGAAAUUGCCCUUUAGUCAUUGACAAUGUAUUUCUUCCUCUAGGUAGAGAAAAUUUUAAUUUUUUGUUAGUAAUUUUUAGAUUUACUGUCUUAUAGUAAGUGACUGCCUUUGGGUUGUUUCUGUUGUUUUAAUUGGUUGAGGUUUUCUGUGAAAGGAAGAUAUAUUAUUUAUUAACACAGUUCAGUAUUUGUAUUUAUCUAUUAGAAGUAUUUUAUUUUGUCAUCAUUAUCUUGGUUUCUUUGUCCAUUCGACCCAUCUUUGAAGGAGUUACUUAAGUUAAAAUCUCCCUUUAUUGGUGUGUCUUUCUAUGUGCAUCUUCUGUUGCUUCUGCUUUAGGAAGUUUGCUAGAAUAUUACAUAAUUUUUUUAAAUUUUUAUUCGUACCCCAGACAUUAAAAAGUAUUCUUUCUUAUGUCUUUUAAACCAUUUUGGACUGGAUUCUACCUAAUUUGAUAUCAAUUUCAUGAGCCUUGCUUUCAUUUCAUUUGCAAUUGCCUUUCAUGUAUUAUUGUCCUCUCAUUUUAAUUCUUUAUAAUCUCUGUUUUUUGUGUUUGUCUCAUACAAGCAUAUUUAAGCAGUUAAUCAGUUAAAUGUUAAUUUUUGGACAAUCUAAAACUGUCUUUUAAUAGAUUUAGAUUUUUUGAGAUUCGAUUAAAACUUAUUGGUAUGAUUGAUGUUUUAUUCUUAAUUUUCUCACAUUCUGUUAUAUUUGAAUAUGUCUCCAAAGAUAUAUCCUUUCCCUGUGUGCUCUUUUAUGUUUGCUUCUGUUUUUCUUUUUACUCCUUCUUGCCAUCACCCUCCUUUCUCCUUUUCUUUUACUCUUCCUUUCCCCCAUUCUUCCUUCUUGUCAAUAUCAUUAUAUAAUAAUCUUUUUUAGGCUACCAUCUAUUUAUGCCAUUCUAUGGGCAAAAUUGUCAAUAAUAACUUCUACUCCUUUUACUUUUUCUCCCCCAGCAUCCUAUGUUAAGUAUAUUCUUUUACUACCAUUAAUACUGAUUAGUGAUUAGAAAGUCUGUUUAAAUUUUCUUGUUUUUUCUCCUCACCCUCUAGUUUUGAUAGUUAUAUUACAGCUGUGUAAUUAAAGCAAACCACCAUUACAUACCGUGAUAUAUUAUCUUCCUUAUAACCAUCAUGUAGCAUUGAUUUACAGAAUAAUAUAGAUUUAACAUUUAUAACUAUCUUAAUUUUGAUGUCUCUCCAGGCUUUUUUGUUGUGUAAAGUUUACUAUUAUUAUAUUUUCCAGGAAAUACUCAUAGGAGCAAUAAUUUCUGAAUCUUUAUAUAUUCACAAAAUUUGAGUGGUUUAUUUGCUUGCUAUUGAGUGGUUUUACUUCUGUAAAUAUUUUGAUUAUUAAUCUUUUAUCAGAUGUGUGGUUUGCAAAUAUUUUCUUCCACUCCGUAGGUUGUCUCUUCUGAGUCUUAAUAUGUAUUGCACAUGUUCCUAAACCAUUCCAAACUCGCACUCUAAGCAGAAUCAGAUUACACAGCAGAAUACAGAACUUUUCAUAGGUUCAGGCCACAAAUAGUAUUUCUAGUUACAAAAAGCCACUGCUUCUGUAUUGCAAAAGAAAAUAACAGAUUGGCUGCAUAGACUACCAGGUAUGUCUGCUUUACCUUGAUAAUUGAAACCCUGCUGUCAAGCAAAACUAUAUCCUUUGGUGUUACACUGGUUUGGGAUCUGGUCAAUUAAAAUUUGUGUGUUUAAUUCCCUUAACAUACACCUGCAAUAUCAUGAAGGCUACACAGGUGUAACUUCGGAAGUUUGAUUGAUAUUUGCAGGUCACCUCUCAAAGCUCAGUUAAAGCAUUUCAGGCCGGGCGCGGUGGCUCACGCCUGUAAUCCCAGCACUUUGGGAGGCCGAGGCGGGCAGAUCACGAGGUCAGGAGAUUGAGACCAUCCUGGCUAACACGGUGAAACCCCGUCUCUACUAAAAAUACAUAAAAAGUGAGCCGGGCGUGGUGGCGGGCGCCCGUAGUCCCAGCUACUCGGGAGGCUGAGGCAGGAGGAUGGCGUGAACUCCGGAGGCGGAGCUUGCAGUAAGCCGAGAUCACGCCACUGCACCUCAGCCUGGGCGAGAGAGCAAGACUCCAAAUCAAAAAAAAAAAAAAAAAAGCAUUUCAAAUUAGACAUUUUUUUGCACUCCCGACUGCCUCUUUCAGUCUGAAGAAGAACAACGUGCACAGGAGUUAGAAUGAUUUUUACAAAGGACGCCAGUAGUGUUGUGGAUUGGGGAGGAAAGUGAACAGUAGAGAAACAAAACCAAAAAAAUGAUUUGUUACCAUUUAAAAAUGCUGCUGGAUUUGCCAUCAGAGUUGCAGUGCAGCUUCAUAUACGCAAACACAAGCCUCUUUUAAGAAGAAUCUUUGUGUCUGAACAGAAAGUAUUUUGUCUUCGCAGGCAGGAAAACUAAUGCAGGGCUUACCCAGAGAUAUGUUUUUCACCAUGUGGCCAGGACAAUAAACAUGGGGCUUUUGAUCUGUGUGGCAAUAGUGGCUGAGCUGGAGUUCUAAAAAGAGAAAAAUGGGAAACAAAUCUGCCAGGGGUGAGUGUGUGCCCUUGGGGUACUUUUGCAUGUCUAAAGUUCACCAAGGAAAGCAAGAGAGAUUUCAAAUAAACAUGUCUAAAGGGGUCAUAAAGAACUUAACCAGUGUGAUUGCUUAAAUCUCAAUGUCAAAACACAGAAAUGCAUGGCCUACAUCACAUGAAACUUCUUUGGCCCCAGGUUUAUAAAUUAAACCUCUUUCAAACUCCUGUUUUUACAAACAUAAAUUUAUAAAUGCCUUUCCUCCUUACCACCAUCUUCAAACUAUGAAUAACAGCAAAAUUUUCUGUUACUGCAGGUGAAAUAGUUUUGUAACUAACAUGGGGGCAACAAGGAUACUCAUAAUGAAUCUUUUCUAAUUUUCACGAGGACACAAUUGUACACCAUUGUCAUAAUAUCGGUGUCCUUUUAACUUGUUCUUUAAAAGGUUAUCCAAGAAAUCAUUGCAAUCUAUUAUGUUACAUACUACCUUCAUUUUCAAAUCAAAAUGCCAAAGUGAAGCACAGUUUAUUUCAGCAAUGUUGAAAUAGAGUGCUGUUAUUAGAAAAUGUGAGUGGGUUGAAGUGGGACUCCCUGCGAAGUUAACUUGGCAGAGUUAGAGUUCCUGGCUCAACCUAAUAUUAAAAGUGAGUCAUCAGUUUACCCUCACAGCAGGGUCUUCACUUUGUACUUCUCAAUCUGAGCGACUCAACAGUGGGGCCAAAUAUUCAAGGUUAGUUUCUAUAAUUAGUAAUCAAGUGAAGAAAAUCCCUUGAGAUUUUAUUAUUCAUAAAUUCCUAAAUAUUACUGUCUAAUAAAUAAUAUGACAAAUAAGAAUCUACCUCAUAGAAACUUAGUUUGCACAUUCAGUACGACUUAUCUCUAGUAGAGGCCAAAGUUGUCUCUGUUCACAUGAAAGAGUUUUUACCCUUUAUGUCCAUUAAGAUAAAUUUGAAAUGCAACAGUUUCAUGCAUUUCUGCUCCUAUGUAAGCCAACAUUUUUGGAAGAAAAAAUUCAGUAAUUAUUGUGUGCUCAUAUAAAGAUACAUAUUAGAACUAUCAUGACUUUGUAAUACUUCUGGUUUUAAUAAAGAACAAAGAAAAAAUGUUUUAAAGAUUAUUUUCUUACUUUAAGAAUUUGAGUGCAAUUUACUUUACCUUUUAUUUAAUACACUAAAUGUAAGAGAUACAGCAUGGUAUUUAAUCCAAACUCAGUAAAUACUUAUUUUUCAAUAUAGCCUUAAAAUGUCUUGGUAAAACAACGUAUUUCCUACUCCUUACCAGAGCAUGCCUAUUCAAAAGUGAAAUAACAUGUAUUAUCUUAAAAAAUAUAUAACAUUGACAAUUUUUAAAAGGUUAGUAUAAGUUCCCUGGUAGCAUUUUAAAAAGAUCGUGCAUUUUAAGUUUUUGUUCACACAUUAUGUAUACCUAUAAUCUCCCAUAGCCAUACACAUGUAUAUUUGAAACAUACUUUCUUAGAAUAGCAGAGAAAACCCUUCAUAAGUUAGACCUCAUCUGAAUUUCCAGCAUGGCCCAAAUGAUUUGCAGUCAUGAACUCCAGCUACAGAAAUCUAAUCUGCAACAGGCUUUCUCAGGCUUUGCAUCUGUGCACACACUGGCUCACCUUCCAGGACUACCUUCAUCACUCUUCUACCUGGGACCCUGAUACGUAUCUUUAAAACCCUGUUCAAGUAUUAUCAUGACGCUUUUUGGAUCCAUUAACACAUAUUAUAAUAUUAAUUACAAUGUGUUUUAAUUAGUUGCUAAAACUUUUUUUUUUUUUUUUUUUUUUUUUUUGAGACGGAGUCUCCCCCUGUUGCCCAGGCUGGAGUGCAGUGGCGCGAUCUCGGCUCACUGCAAGCUCCGCCUCCCGGGUUCACGCC